CAAUAGCGUAUAUUAAAGUUGUUGCAGUUAAAAAGCUCGUAGUUGGAUUUGUGGUGUGUCCAGUCGGCCUUUGCUCUCUGAGUGAUUGUGCUGUACUGGUCUGCCAUGUUUGGGUGGAAUCUGUGUGGCAUUAAGUUGUCGUGCAGGGGAUGCCCAUCGUUUACUGUGAAAAAAUUAGAGUGUUCAAAGCAGGCUUAUGCCGUUGAAUAUAUUAGCAUGGAAUAAUAAUAUAGGACCUUGGUACUAUUUUGUUGGUUUGCGCACUAAGGUAAUGAUUAAGAGGGACAGUUGGGGGUAUUUGUAUUCCAUUGUCAGAGGUGAAAUUCUUAGAUUUUUGGAAGACAAACUACUGCGAAAGCAUUUACCAAGGAUGUUUUCAUUA
rnacentral:rRNA from 1 species